AUACUUACCUGGCAGGGGAGACACCUUGAUCAAGAAGGAGGUUGAGGCUCCGGGGUCGAGGCGCCGCCAUUGCACUCCGGCUGUGCUGACCCCUGCGAAUUCCCCAAAUGUUGGAAUCUCGACUGCGUAAGUUGCGGUAGUGGGGGACUGCGUUCGCGCUCUCCCCUG